rnacentral:rRNA from 1 species
ACUACGGGAGGCAGCAGUGAGGAAUAUUGGUCAAUGGACGAGAGUCUGAACCAGCCAAGUAGCGUGAAGGAUGACUGCCCUAUGGGUUGUAAACUUCUUUUAUAUGGGAAUAAAACGUUCCACGUGUGGGAUUUUGUAUGUACCAUAUGAAUAAGGAUCGGCUAACUCCGUGCCAGCAGCCGCGGUAAUACGGAGGAGCCGAGCGUUAUCCGGAUUUAUUGGGUUUAAAGGGAGCGUAGGUGGGUGUUUAAGUGAGUUGUGAGAGUUUGCGGCUCAACCGUAAAAUUGCAGUUGAAACUGGAAGUCUUGAGUGCAGUAUGGGAGGGCGGAAUUCGUGGUGUAGCGGUGAAAUGCUUAGAUAUCACGAAGAACUCCGAUUGCGAAGGCAGUUCACUGGACUGCAACUGACACUGAGGCUCGAAAGUGUGGGUAUCAAACAGGAUUAGAUACCCUUGUAGUC